UGGGGAAUCUUGGACAAUGGGCGCAAGCCUGAUCCAGCCAUGCCGCGUGAGUGAAGAAGGCCUUAGGGUUGUAAAGCUCUUUUGCCAGGGACGAUAAUGACGGUACCUGGAGAAUAAGCCCCGGCAAACUUCGUGCCAGCAGCCGCGGUAAUACGAAGGGGGCUAGCGUUGUUCGGAUUUACUGGGCGUAAAGCGCACGUAGGCGGAUUGUUAAGUCAGGGGUGAAAUCCCGGAGCUCAACUCCGGAACUGCCUUUGAUACUGGCAAUCUUGAGGCUGGAAGAGGUUAGUGGAAUUCCCAGUGUAGAGGUGAAAUUCGUAGAUAUUGGGAAGAACACCAGUGGCGAAGGCGGCUAACUGGUCCAGAUCUGACGCUGAGGUGCGAAAGCGUGGGGAGCAAACAG
rnacentral:rRNA from 1 species